AUUGAACGCUGGCGGCAUGCCUUACACAUGCAAGUCGAACGGUAACAGGUUAAGCUGACGAGUGGCGAACGGGUGAGUAAUGUAUCGGAACGUGCCCAGUCGUGGGGGAUAACUCCUCGAAAGAGCAGCUAAUACCGCAUACGAUCUACGGAUAAAGCGGGGGAUCGCAAGACCUCGCGCGAUUGCAGCGCCCGAUAUCUGAUUAGCUAGUUGGUGGGGUAAAGGCCCACCAAGGCGACGAUAAGUAGGUGGUCUGAGAGGCCGACCAGCCACACUGGGAGUGAGACACGGCCCAGACUCCUACGGGAGGCAGCAGUGGGGAAUUUUGGACAAUGGGGGCAACCCUGAUCCAGCCAUGCCGCGUGCAGGAAGAAGGCCUUCGGGUUGUAAACUGCUUUUGUCAGGGAAGAAAUCCUUUGGGCUAAUACCCUGAGGGGAUGACGGUACCUGAGGAAUAAGCACCGGCUAACUACGUGCCAGCCGCCGCAGUAA
rnacentral:rRNA from 1 species